GACGAACGCUGGCGGCGUGCCUAAUACAUGCAAGUUGAGCGAUGAAGCUUGGUGCUUGCACCAAUUUGAAGAGCAGCGAACGGGUGAGUAACGCGUGGGGAAUCUGCCUUUGAGCGGGGGACAACAUUUGGAAACGAAUGCUAAUACCGCAUAAUAACUUUAAACAUAAGUUUUAAGUUUGAAAGAUGCAAUUGCAUCACUCAAAGAUGAUCCCGCGUUGUAUUAGCUAGUUGGUGAGGUAAAGGCUCACCAAGGCGAUGAUACAUAGCCGACCUGAGAGGGUGAUCGGCCACAUUGAGACUGAGACACGGCCCAAACUCCUACGGGAGGCAGCAGUAGGGGAUCUUCGGCAAUGGACGAAAGUCUGACCGAGCAACGCCGCGUGAGUGAAGAAUGUUUUCGGAUCGUAAAACUCUGUUGGUAGAGAAGAACGUUGGUGAGAGUGGAAAGCUCAUCAAGUGACGGUAACUACCCAGAAAGGGACGGCUAACUACGUG
rnacentral:rRNA from 1 species